GUUAAAAUGCUAUCUCCACAUUAAUUAGCCCACAUAAGCCCCACAAUUCAGGGCCCGCCAUCAUGGAUAUCCCUCUCCUCUCCAGCGCUGCCUUUCUAUUCUUUAUUCACCUUAGGGGCUUUUAUUCAGAGAGAUGGGUUCUCUGCAUGUUGUCUGGACUGGCUUUGAACCCCUGGGCUCAAGUCAUCCUUCUGCCUCAGCCUCCCAAGUAGCUGGCACUAUAGGGGUGCACCACAGUGCCUAGCUUACAUGGAGAGCUUGUGGGUUUGCCCAGUGCAAGCUCCCAGCCUUGGCUGUGCAAGGACACCCUGUUCUCUCUUAGAGUUUUCUCAUAUACACUUCAAUGCACGUUUAUAGUGACCAAAGCAAAUGACUUUGACCACACUUCAAAUAUCACUCCAUGCCUCUGCUUACAUGAAGAAUCUUUAUUGUGUUUCUGAUUAAAAAUGUCAUAUACCCAUGUAUUUAUACAAAAUGUAGGUUACUAGAAAGCUUCUCAGAACACAUACUACCAGAGAAAAAGCAUAGUUAAGGUUGGGUGCACAGUCUGCCAACUUUUUCUUCAUGGAAAUAUGUGAUGUUCUUCCACACACAUUUUUCCUCUAAGCCUGCUGCCUCCUAAACUAGAUAUUAAGUCAGUUGUGCUUUUAUGCAGUUGACUCAAGGCCGAGUAGGAGAUAACUUCCUUAACAAGAAGCAGGAGACAGAUAGCACAAGAGCAAUCUUUCCUACCUACUUUUUAGUGAUUUUAGCUUUCUCUUCUCUCUCCUCUGCUGUCUUCAUUGCUUGAAACUUCUCUGUUGCCAAACCAAGCUGCAGAAGCAGGUGGAGAGGAGUCAAACACCAGCCCAGCCCUGUGUCCAAACAGUGGGAAGGCCAGAUGUUGGUGACAGGAUCUUGGCUCAUGGUGGAGGCGACUGGAAAUAACAAAGUGAGGGCUGUGGAGGAAGGGGCACCAUGGGCAGAGAGCCUGGGGGCUGUUCGCUGCCAAUACCUGGCAUAGCUGUGUAAGAAGCCACAGGGGAAGUGCUUGCUUCUGAGGAGGAGCAGUGCAAGGCUGUCCUGUAACCCUCAGCCUGUACUGGACUCAGGAGGAGUGCAUAACAGCCCUGGCUGAACUGCCUGGAGAAUCACCAACAUUCCACAGGUCUUUUUCCUGGGUUUGUUGAGCUUGAUUGCAGCAAGGGGCUGGCUAGGAACGUCCCAGUUUCCUACUGCUAGGUCACAGGCACUCAGUUUCUCUACCUGUUUCUGUAACUUGACGGGAUGGGAGAAGGUGUGGGUAUCUUUCUUUUCCACAGAUGUGUGAUGCUGGUUGGAUGUUCAGGAGCCUUUUAUUCACCUGGUCAGACCUCAUCAGACUGCUGGAGUUAUGAGCCAGCUCUGGCUAAAGUGCGCCAGAACCAAGGAAAGAGGUAUUGGGUAUGAGGCACUGUGAUGUGAAGGUGUGAGACCGCAGACCUGCUGGAAGACCAUCAGAGAAAAGGCUGAUGUCCUGGGGAAUGAGCAGAGCAUGGCUGAUAAGGGAGAAAUAUCCAGAGCUGGACUGAGUGGAAUCAAAGCCUAUACCCUUUCACAAGCUAUGGGAACUUGGGAAAGUUUCUUUGUUGUUGUUGUUCAGAAAUUUUAAAAAUUGUACUAAAAUAUAUAACAAAAUUUGUCAUUUUAAUCCCUGUAAGUGUAAAAUCCAGGGAGCAUUAAUUAUAUCACAAUGUUGCACAACACCAACGAUACCUAUUUUAAAAAAUUUCCAGGAGUCCAAAUAGAUAUUUUGUACUCAUUAAGCAAUAACUCCCUAAUCUUCCUUUCCCAAGCCACAGUUACCUUUAAUCUACUUUCUGUCCCCAUAAAUCAGUCUAUUAUUGAUAUUUCAUAUAAUUGGAGUCAUACAGUGUUUGUUUUUUGUGUCCAGCAUAUCUCCCUCAGUGUGAUGUUUUCAUGGUUUACCCGUGCUGUAGCAUUUAGCAGAUCUUUAUUUCCUUGUGUGGAUAAACAGUAUUUUAGCUAAA